GAGGGGUUAGUUAAAAAAAUAACAUCAGAAUGUCAAACUGAAGUAAUCAAGUAGAUACCCCUCU
rnacentral:tRNA from 1 species